UACGUAGGGGGGCAAGCGUUGUCCGGAAUCAUUGGGCGUAAAGAGCGUGUAGGCGGCCCGGUAAGUCCGCUGUGAAAGUCCAGGGCUCAACCCUGGGAUGCCGGUGGAUACUGUCGGGCUAGAGUCCGGAAGAGGCGAGUGGAAUUCCUGGUGUAGCGGUGGAAUGCGCAGAUAUCAGGAGGAACACCGAUGGCGAAGGCAGCUCGCUGGGACGGUACUGACGCUGAGGCGCGAAAGCGUGGGUAGCAAACAGG
rnacentral:rRNA from 1 species